rnacentral:miRNA from 1 species
GCAUCAAACUGGUUGUGGUUUG